GCUAGGGCAAUCCUCCAUUCACAACAAUCCUUCAUGGUUGACGCUAGGGCAUCGAUUUGAUUAGAAUUUCAUCUCUUCCAUUCACAACAAUCCUCCAUGGUUGACGCUAGGGCAUCGAUUUGAGUAGAAUUUCAUCUGCAAGGGUUUCUUCUGGUCAGGUAUUCCUUUUCCGUUUUUUCUCUAUUUUUCUAUGAUCUUUUCCUAAUUUUGGGGAUUAGGGCUCGCUGGAUUGAAGAACCACAGUGACGAGAUCACAAGAUCACAGUGUUAUGGAGACUCGUAAAUUAUCCGAUGCAUCAAUUGCCUUAAUACUUGAGGACAUUAUGCACAACUACAAGUUCGAAACAAUGUGUAUUCUUUACCUAAUAGCUGCAAGGACUCGUAGCAGAGCGCGUAGUCGACGAGCAGCGGCUAGACAACCAUUCACCAUAAUAAGUCGGAUGCCAAAUCAGGUUAAUCACAUGGAUAGGUUAGUAGGAGCCACAGAUGUCGAUUGUGUGAACAACCUCCGAAUGGACCGUAACACAUUUGGGAGGUUAUGUUAGACAUAUAGGAGGUCUUACGGAUGGGAAAUAUGUUGUUGUGGAGGAGCAAGUAGCUAUAUUCUUAAGUAUCUUAGCACACCAUAAAAAGAAUAGGAUUGUUAAAUUUGAUUUUUUGAGAUCGGGACAGACAAUAUCUCACUAUGUACAUCGUGUUCUACAUGCGAUUUUAAAGAUGCACACCCUUUUUUUGGUGAAGCCUGACCCAAUAACCGACGAUUGCCUUGAUCCACGAUGGAAGUGGUUUAAGGGUUGUCUGGGAGCCCUUGAUGGGACGUAUAUCAACAUGCUUGUGCCUAAUGCAGACAAGCCAAGGUAUCGGACACGGAAGGGACAAAUAUCGACAAACACAUUGGUGUGUGUGAUCGAUAUAUGAGGUUUGUUUAUGUUUUACCGGGAUGGGAAGGCUCGGCUGCAGAUUCUAGAGUACUUCGUGACGCAGUCAAUCGGGUUCAUGGAUUGCGAGUACCAAGAGGGAAUUAUUACUUGUGCGACAAUGGGUACGCAAACUGCGAUGGAUUCUUGACUCCAUACAAAGCUGUACGUUACCAUUUAAAGGAUUGGGGCCCUAUUGCAGAAAUGCCUCAGAACCCAAAGGAAAUUUUUAACAUGAGACACACCAGAGCACGUAAUGUGAUUGAG